rfam:Burkholderia sp. STM 7183 genome assembly, contig: CYGY01000081
CCGUCUCUCAGGUUCUGGACGGCCCUCGGAAUGCCAGAACCUAUUCACGCCAGCGGAAGCUGGCGUCUUUUUGU